UACGAAGGGGGCUAGCGUUGUUCGGAAUUACUGGGCGUAAAGCGCGCGCAGGCGGCUAUCCAAGUCAGUGGUGAAAGCCCGGAGCUCAACUCCGGAACUGCCAUUGAAACUGUUUAGCUUGAGUAUGGGAGAGGUGAGUGGAAUUCCCAGUGUAGAGGUGAAAUGCGUAGAUAUCGGGAGGAACACCUGUGGCGAAAGCGGCUCACUGGACCACAACUGACGCUGAGGCGCGAAAGCUAGGGGAGCAAACAGG
rnacentral:rRNA from 1 species